CAUAAGGAAUUUUGGGAAGAACAGCAGAAAUAUAGCUAGAUAUAUAUUUUUUAAAUAUUUUAACUUAGAAAAAGUCCCAAAGAGGGGUGUUUUUUAGGUGUUUUGAAAGCACCUAAGUUGCAUUUUUGUUUUUCUUUUUUUUUUUUUUGUCUAGAGCUACAGAAAAAUUCAUGGGGAGGAAAGUAAGGGUAGGGGGGUUUCCAUUUGGGGAACUUGAUUUGCCAAGCCUUCUUAAUGACGAUUCCACAAAUGUGGCUGCAGCUGUGAGGACAGCUGGAGAGACCUGUUGUCUUUCUGGUGCCCUCUGAUAUUUUGCAAUGUCUCUUCUGAUUGACACCAUGACUGGGUGUUGCUGCUCUGGCCUGGCCCUGGCCGUCAUGAGGGCGUUGCCACUUGGGCAGGGAACUGGAGAGAAGAUUUAAGUUGGUUUGAAGAAGUAAAAUUCCUCCUUGAGCUCAUGAGCAGAGCCAUGGAAACCCGAAGACUUCCCCCCGGGGCUCUGGGGGGCUUCUAACCAGAGAGGAGAACGGGCAACUUCCCCACAUAAAGCUGAAAAACCAGUACAGAGAAGCAGCCUUCCAUUUACCAUUGCAGGAUCGACAUGCAGAUUUGAUCACUGUUUUUUUUUCCCGAAGAAGCAAGCAUGGUGCAUACCCAGGGCAAAGCACCCUGUUUUGCGUUUGAAGCAACCUGCAUCUUCAGUGAAGCUCAGGACGUGGCCGACACUGGCAAACUACCUGAACUGACAGCACCCACAUCCCGAUUCAGACCAACUCAACGUGCACUUAGAGAGUGCCUACUGCGUGCAGGAUCUUCGCUCCGAUCAUUGAGUUCUGUGAUUAAGUCAUACAUGACGUUCUGCAUCUGUUUGGAGAGACAGGAGACGACAGGUCAUUGCAGAGGAAUCUGCAAUAGGAAAAAUGAAAUACUCCUCCAGAUUACACUUGAAAUACAACUCCUCCAGGGAUCUACUUCCACACCGGCCGUGUCGGGUCUGGCCAAGGACAGAGAAACAGUUUACUUUCUUGAAGACUUGGAGGCUCAAAUGGCACAGUGGGUUUUUGUGUGUGUGUGUUUUUGUCUGAUUACAAAAAUAAUGUAUAUUACUUAUAAAAAUAGAUUAGAAAAUAUAUAGACUGGAAAGGCAGCACUUUCUUCUUCAAUAGAACGAGUCCCUGAAGUGUCCUCAUGUUCUUACUUUGUCCAACCUCUCAGCUCAUAGGGCAAUGGCACCUACUGAUGAAAGAGACGGCUCUGUGGUGGGGAGCGGACAGUGCAAUAGACUUAGCAUUGGUAGGCCAGGGUUCAAGUACACGUCUGCCACUCACUAAUAAUGUGCCUUCCCUCAUGCCCCUUAACCUCUCUGCUUGGUUGCCUUAUGAAAGAGGAGUUAAUAAUAACAACACAUAGUUAUAGAGCUGCUGCUCCCCCCCCCCCCCCCCCCCCCUUUCAACACAGCAGGCAGAAUGUACAACGUACAACGUAACUCACUCAGGACGGGGCUGUAGUGAAAGGGAGCUGCCUCGCUGAGGUUACAGCCCCUCUCCUGCCUGGUCAAUGAGGAAGGACAUUGUCUCAAUUUGGGACACCCCUGAAGGGCCAGUCCACCUCCGGAACUCCCGUGGGUUGGUCGAGGCCUUUGUCAGUCAAUCGUAUCACAGUUCAGCCUCUCCCUCUGCCCCAUCCUGCUUCCCUCGCUCCCCAACAGGUGCUGUCCUGAUGGUGUCCCCAGUAAACCUCCUGCUCUCGGUGCCAUCUCCCAGUGUCCCAGGGACCCGCCCUGUCACCACUGCUCACUCCCCACACAUCCCAUGGCCGACAGCCUCCCCUCCUCUCAGCCUCCCCUUAAAAAUCAUCUCCCCCCAUUGCCCUUGUUAACAUGGCACUUUGGUCCCACUCCUACCCCUGAUCCCGCUAACCCUGCUCAACUCUUUUCUUUUCUUCAUGCCACCUUCUAAUAAACUAACUAAUUUGCUAUUUCUUCUGCUUAUUAUUGUCUGUUUUCUCCCCUCCAGGGCGGGGACCUUCGCCUGUUGUGUUCACGGAUGUGUCCCAAGGGCUUAAAACAGCAUCUGGCACCCAGGGGAUGCUCAACUAACAUUUUUUGACGGACAAGUGUACAUAAACAUGCCUAGCAAGGGGGUCUGUCACACGUGGUCGGCACUAAAAGAUGUUGGUAGAACUAAUGAAUGAAUAAAGUGCUGGCACAGGGGAAAAUCACCGUCCCUUCCAUCCUUUGGCCAAUGUAGGAGUUUAACUGAUGGGAAAAGACCUUUUGCGCCACAAAUUAUUUCCAUAUACCUAGAGAGUUUCUCAGCAUUUCCCACCGAGACCUGAGUGGCUGAAGGAAAGGAGAGAAGACUCCUGAGGGGGCCCAGCCCAGGGCCUGCCUCUGGAGAGCAGGUGUUCCGUAAGCUUUUGUGAAUGAACAUUGAACAAGGUCGUGAGAGCAGGGGAGCAAAAAUGCGGUACCUCCAGGGAACUACCAAUAAAAUAAAACUUUAAUGUAAUAAAAUAAACUUGUCUUCUGAGAGUUAAGUUAUAAAACCAGGUCAGAGCAGCACUGAACAAAGGCAGCUUGUGACAAGUGCACCAUUUUCGGUCCUACAUCUGCUCUUUGUUCCCUGGCUCCAUGAGAGGCCAUUCAUUCAGGCUGUCCCCACCUGAAACCCGGGCGUCAUCCUCUCCCUCAGGCCCCAUAUCUCACCGGUACAAAGUCCUGCCCACCCUACGUCUACCCAUCCCUCAAAUUCAGUUCAUUUAAUUGAAAUGAAACCACUUUUGUUCCAACCGUACCACCAUGGUUCUGACUAUCCUCUUACCAGGCAACUUUCUGGUUAUAAUUUGGCUUCCCGGGUUGGUCUGUAGAGCCCUUAUCUAGGUGACAGUCACAUGUCUCCCUGCAAACUAACAAGGGACAUCAGACUUGGGAGCAAGGCUCUUGGGAGACUUCAUGCUCUCAGGUGUUCCUGUGGGCCAGGUUGGCGGUUGCUUUGUACCCUCCCAAACCCCACCUGCAGGCACUGUGGCUCUAGGGGCUUCUGGUCAUCUGCCAGUGACACCCUGUCCUAUUUUACCUGAAAUUUCAAGUUACUCCAGGAAGAUGCAGAAACCAUUGGUGCCCGCGGGGGCCAAGGUAGUAGGGACUGAGGUGAACGAAAAAAAAAAAAGUAAAGGAAGGUGGCAAUAAAUGAGAAGCCAGAAAGGAGAUGGGAGAAGGGGGAUUGAAAAUGUAGUGAUACCUUCCCACCAGGAAAUUGGCUGCAGCCCCAGAGGGAGCCGUCACAGAGGUGGAGUGAGGCAGCCCUGCUUUGCAAAGGGCAGGACUCUUCUGUGGCCGCCUCAGAGGAGAGCGUGACUUUAGAGGCAAGAGUGCUUCCUUCAUUAAUUAACAUUCACAGAACCUCUUCAGGGUGCAUGUUCUUCCCAGAAUGUACAACACCACAAAUCUGUUUGACCGCAGGGGCACCCUAACGAGCUCUGGACUGAAUCCGGGCCCCUGGGUCUCAGCCCCAGCGCUGCAGCUCUCCAACAGCCCGACCUUGGGAUGGUCUCUUUGGACCUUGGUUUCCUCAUCUAUAUUCCUAAUCAGAACUACCACAUGCAAAACUGUUAUAGUUCACAAAGCAUUUUCACAGAUACCAUCUUAUGUGAUCAGUGGAGCCUCAGAUGUGGGGAAUGAUUUUUACACUUCAAUGGAAGACACUGAAGCUAGCAUACAAAGCCUCCCAGCGUUCCCCCACCCCAUCUCUGCCACCCUACGAGUGAGCUCUUCAAUACAGCAAGUGUUAUCUGGAGGCCACACGCCCUUUUCAUAAUCUAGAAAGGACCAAAGGACAGGGGUGGAAGGUGGUGAGCUGGAAGGAUGAAGCACAGAAAGAAAAGGGAGAGAACACUGUUAUUACUGUCUCCCGUGUUCUGUUGCUUUUGGUGACAGGAUACCAGGGGGAACGUGGACCAGUGUGAAAGACGCUAGGCUGCUGCCAGGACCUUGGCUGAGUCUCCUGGGAGGAAAGAUGAAACACGGGAUGGAUGUCAGAGUUCACCCUCCCUGCAGGUCCCACACCACUCCCAGUAGCCCUGCAGACGCUUUCCCUUCACCCUCUCCUCCACACCCUUUCUUUCCGGGUAACUUGCUCCCAGGUUAUUGAUGGCUUCGUUCCCCCACCCAAUUCACGCGAGCCUCUUUCCAGUUCACUGAGUUUUUUGCUUCACCCAGUCUGCUCUGCACGGGGCCCUGUCUCUGUGAAAGGCGGUGGCUGGCACUGAAGGAACGCAGGCUUGAAAGUCCAGUGUGCCCGCUAUUCCCAGGAGAACACCAGCCACAGCCUGUCCUGCCAGGUGAGAGGGGAGGCAGAAACAUGGCUACCUGUAAAAGAAAUAUCUUGGGGCUUGUUGGGCCAUUCCUGCACCUCCCAGUGUGGGUCCCCAGCCACGUUUGCCCUACCCGACCCCCCUGCUGGCCUCAGCUGAUUGGCCCAAGGGUGGACACGUGACCCAAACUAGCCAGUCAUCUCAUCCCUUCUGAGAAUUUAGAAUUAAGACCAAUAGGAGGACAGCCAAUCGGUCUUUGCCUGUGGCUAGAACUAGAACAUGUACUCUCUGGACAGGGGCCUGCCAUGGUCUGCCAUGGAGACAGGGGGCAUAGAAAGUUGUCAGGAGAUGAAGGCGAGGGAGAGAGAGAGAAGCAGGCACUUGAACAGGAGAGAGAAGAGAGGGUGAGCGGAUACCUUCCAGGGUGAGGCACACUUCUAGGUAGUUCCUUCCUGAAGUCUGACCACAUGCCUGCCUUGAGGUUCUGCCUGGAAUGAGACUUCCUUGUAUCCUUAUAAUAAACACCUACAUUUUAAAACCUACUUCCAAUGGGUUUCUGAUACUGGAACCCAAGAGUUUUAAGCAGUGCACCCAAGACCAUGGGGGGCUCCCUUCUGCACUUGGGCAUUCCAUUCACAUCCUUGCCUCCUCCUGGCUCUCAGGAGCCCUGCACUCCACCACAGCACCCCCUCCAAAGCACACAGCCUGUGGGCUUCUCCCCACCUGUGCCAGCCGCACAUUCCCUGACUGAAGUCUUCCCAAGCUUAGGAGGCCCUUUCUUUGGCCUGAUCCCUUCAUUGAACAAGGCGCCUGCACGUGGCCCAAGAACUGGCAAUGUCUCUGAUUGCACCAUCUUUUCAAAGGGGGAUUAAUUGGCCUGAGGGAGUUUCUCUUGCUUACCCAGGGAAUGUAUUCCAUGAUGAUAAUCGACAUCUGCUGGAAUGUUCUGCCAGCCUGGCCCUGGGCUAUACAUUUGAUGUACAAUUUCUAUCAAGAGGCAAUGAGGGGGCUUCCCUGGUGGCACACUGGUUAAGA